rnacentral:rRNA from 1 species
CAUGGAUUUCCGAAUGGGGGAACCCAACAGGUAAUACCUGUUACCCACAUCUGUUAAGGAUGUGAGGAGGAAGACGCAGUGAACUGAAACAUCUAAGUAGCUGCAGGAAGAGAAAGCAAAAGCGAUUGCCUUAGUAGCGGCGAGCGAAACGGCAGAAGGGCAAACCGAAGAGUUUACUCUUCGGGGUUGUAGGACUGCAAUGUGGACUCAAAGAUUAUAGAAGAAUGAUUUGGGAAGAUCAGCCAAAGAGAGUAAUAGCCUCGUAUUUAAAAUAGUCUUUGUACCUAGCAGUAUCCUGAGUACGGCGGGACACGUGAAAUCCCGUCGGAAUCUGGGAGGACCAUCUCCCAACCCUAAAUACUCCCUAGUGACCGAUAGUGAACCAGUACCGUGAGGGAAAGGUGAAAAGCACCCCGGGAGGGGAGUGAAAUAGAACCUGAAACCGUGUGCCUACAACAAGUUCGAGCCCGUUAAUGGGUGAGAGCGUGCCUUUUGUAGAAUGAACCGGCGAGUUACGAGAUCG